rnacentral:misc_RNA from 1 species
AAGUCGUAACAAGGUCUCCGUAGGUGAACCUGCGGAGGGAUCAUUAACACAUAUGUUAUACAAUAUAUAUGUAUAUAUACUCGUAUGUAUAUAGAUAUUUUGUAUGCACAACCAACAACGCGAACUUAAAUGAAUAUAUGCAUGUUCUCAUAUAUAUAUUCAUUCACCUCCCCUACUGUGUAUGUAGCUGUUGUUACAUAUACUUUAGGACCAUUUUUUUUACACAAACCAAAUAAUAACAUUAACCCUGAACUAUUACUAAAUACAUUUGUACUGUUAUAUAACUAUACAUACAUGAUAUAUAUCUUCGAUAUAUUUCCUGUGUUUAUAUCUGUUGACAGUGUUUAGUGUCUUGCACACUAACAUAAAAAUACAAAAUAUAUGUACAACUGUUAGCAAUGGAUAUCUAGGUUCUC